GGGCCAGGAGUGUCGAAAGAUAGCACGGCUGCCUUGCAAGCAGCAGGACCGGGAGCAUUACCCGGCUGGUCCACCA
rnacentral:tRNA from 1 species